rnacentral:tRNA from 1 species
GUGUUAUAGUUUAGUGGUAAGAAUUUCACGUUGUGACCGUGGAGACAUGGGCUCCAAUCCCAACAGCCACA